GCAGUGAUAGUUCAGUGUUAGAAUUUUCACCUUCUAUGUGGGAGACCUGGGUUCAAUUCCUGGCCAAUGUA
rnacentral:tRNA from 1 species